rnacentral:lncRNA from 1 species
GUUUACUUAUUUUUUGAAUAACUUCUUUGAUUGACAGAUUGGUCCUUUAACUGCUCCGCCUCGCCUCAUCUCCACAGCUGAUUAAUCAAUAACGUGUCCGUGAGGCAUAUCGGAGGAGAACAAAAACUCAACAAGUCCGGGCUUGUCUUCAAGUCACCUGUGGCGUCUGAACCUGAGGCCCCCUCGUUAACUUCCACGAGGAGGACGGAAGUGAAACAGGCUCCUUAACGCAGGCGGACAGGUGUGAAAUCACGAGACAUUAAAUAAGCUGCGCGACAGUGCGGGCUGCUGCACACCCAGGCUGGUUGUAUAACGGGGAUUCACCUCAGCUGAACUUGACGCAUCUGGUUCAUCGGCGGCGCAGGACGCGCGGCGCAGUCUGCAGCCUGUUUGUCCCCACUGAACCGAGCUGGACGUCCGCGGAGAGAGACACGGACACGGACAAUAGGGGGACGAGACACCGUCUAGAAAAUAUAAAGCCCGCGGACUUCGGAGUUUGGACAUCCCGAAGGAAGAGACCAUCCAACUUGAACUUGAGACCUGUCGGGCAAGUGAGGACACAAGCUGACGCCGAACCACGAGGCCUAAGAUACUGCAAUGCAGGUGAGCACAUGGUCGGGCUUACACGCACAAACAUCGACUUGGUAUGUGUAGAAAGGAAUAUGGGAAAUAUGGUCACACUCUUACUGAGUAGAAUAGCAUGAAUUUAAGGAUUCAGACCCGAAAUGUGAAAGGAUCAGAGCUACUGUAUUAUUGUAAUAUUGCAAUUUUAUGCCUCUGAAAUAUUGUAAAGUUUUCACAUCUCUUUUUUUCUUUGUUUAAAACAAAUAUUUUAAGUAAACAGCGUCAGUGUAACCCAUUUGGCUUCAUAUGUUUCUCCGUUAGUUAGACAUGUCUUUAGAAAUGCAUUGUUAAUCGAGAAAGGAUUAAUCUGGUUUUAU